rnacentral:rRNA from 1 species
AACGAACGCUGGCGGCAUGCCUAACACAUGCAAGUCGAACGCGUGGAGCGAUCCACGAGUGGCGCACGGGUGAGUAACGCGUGGGAACCUGCCCUGGAGUGUGGGAUAACCCGGCGAAAGCCGGGCUAAUACCGCAUACGACCUGAGGGUGAAAGAUUUAUCGCUCUAAGAGGGGCCCGCGUCGGAUUAGCUAGUUGGUGAGGUAAUGGCUCACCAAGGCGAUGAUCCGUAGCUGGUCUGAGAGGAUGAUCAGCCACACUGGGACUGAGACACGGCCCAGACUCCUACGGGAGGCAGCAGUGGGGAAUAUUGGACAAUGGGGGCAACCCUGAUCCAGCAAUGCCGCGUGGGCGAUGAAGGCCUUCGGGUUGUAAAGCUCUUUUGCACGCGACGAUGAUGACGGUAGCGUGAGAAGAAGCCCCGGCUAACUUCGUGCCAGCCGCCGCAGUAA